GUGUCAGCCGCCGCGGUAAUACGAAGGGUGCAAGCGUUACUCGGAAUUACUGGGCGUAAAGCGUGCGUAGGCGGUUUGUUAAGUCCGUUGUGAAAGCCCUGGGCUCAACCUGGGAACUGCAGUGGAUACUGGCAAGCUAGAGUGCGGUAGAGGAGGGUGGAAUUCCCGGUGUAGCGGUGAAAUGCGUAGAGAUCGGGAGGAACAUCGAUGGCGAAGGCAGCCCUCUGGACCAGCACUGACGCUGAGGCACGAAAGCGUGGGGAGCAAACAGGAUUAGAUACCCUGGUAGUCCACGCCCUAAACGAUGCGAACUGGAUGUUGGGCUCAACUUGGAGCUCAGUGUCGAAGCUAACGCGUUAAGUUCGCCGCCUGGGGAGUACGGUCGCAAGACUGAA
rnacentral:rRNA from 1 species